CCUACGGGAGGCAGCAGUGGGGGAUAUUGCACAAUGGGGGGAACCCUGAUGCAGCGACGCCGCGUGGGUGAAGGAGUGCUUCGGCAUGUAAAGCUCUAUCGGCAGGGAAGAAGCAAGACGGUACCUGACUAAGAAGCCCCGGCUAACUACGUGCCAGCAGCCGCGGUAAUACGUAGGGGGCGAGCGUGAUCCGGAUUCACUGGGUGUAAAGGGAGCGUAGAUGGCCAUGCAAGCCAGGGGUGAAAGCCCGGGGCCCAACCCCGGGACUGCCCUUGGAACUGUGCGGCUAGAGUGCGGGAGGGGCAGGCGGAAUGCCUGGUGUAGCGGUGAAAUGCGUAGAUAUCAGGAGGAACACCGGCGGCGAAGGCGGCCUGCUGGACCGCGACUGACGUUGAGGCUCGAAAGCGUGGGGAGCGAACAGGAUUAGAUACCCGUGUAGUC
rnacentral:rRNA from 1 species